rnacentral:lncRNA from 1 species
AAACACAGAAACACACGCACAAAUACACUGAACUUUAAUGGUGAUCUUUAUUCAAAUUACAGUUUCUGUGCACACCUGUAAUCCCAGCUACUCCAGAAGUUGAUGGGAGCAUCCCUUGAGCCCAGGAGUUCAAGUCCAGCCUGGGCAACAUAGUGAAAUCCCACCUCUCAAUCUUUUAAAAAAUUAAAUUACAACUUCCCAUAUUAUAAAAAAGUACUGCAGCUCCAAGCUUGAAUGGAAAUUCAUUAGAUUUUUAUAAAUUUGAAGGAAGUUUAUUUCUGAAAAUAAAUUUUGUUGAAUUUCUUCUUAAGGUGGAAAUUUGUUUUUCAUUCCUUUUCUUUGCAUGUGAGUUUUGUAUCAGUUGUGGAACUCUAUAGCUCCACUACAUAUUUGGGUAUUUGAAUAUUUGAAUCUGUUGUGCUUUUUCCAGGAAAUUCUGAAUUUUAGGAUAGUCUACAGGUACCAUAAAUUGAGAAGUCCAAACAAUUCAUUAUCUUCCUUGAAGCCCAAACCUGCCAUUUUUCUCAGAUAGGAAAGCCACCAAACAUAGGGAGCAUGCCUGCCACUUCCCUCUGGCCCGUCUCUGGCUCAUCCGCCACAGAGACCUAUUUAUUACAUCCCCUGAGUAUUCUUCUAAUUCCCCCUCCUUUCCAUCCCCACUCUUUCAGCCACACUUCAGGACCAUGGUCUGUGCAUCGCUUAGUCUCAUCCUAAUUUAUCCGCAGCUCCACCCACUCCAACCUCCUCUCCCCUCUCUAAGACAACCUUUACUUCCCCACCUAUGCCUGUUCCAAUUUACUGUCUCUGAACCCCACAUAUGCCCUUUUCUGCCCUACAUUAUGAUAACUGGAGCUGGACCUAAUUUCUUUCGUUAGCGGGCACAAUGUUAGACCUUGUCAGUAGAGGGCGCUAGAGGGACACUGCACAAGGAAGGGGCUUCUCUUCUGGUUCCAGCUCUGUUCUUAGAAAACAAUGAGCUGUCUCCUUGCCAACCAGCAGCUCCCUUGGUAGGGGCAUGCAGAAGACCUGAUGACACAAACCCUCCAAAGAGUUUCACCCUCACCACAACAGGUGGCUUCCUGCUCGGCAGCCCAUCCUGCAUCACUUCAGUGGACUUCUCUGACAUCUACUAGACCACAUUAAAUGAAUCACAGCCUUGAAACUGAACUGGAAGGACUUCCUUCAAGGAGCCAGCAUAUGAACUUGCUGCCUAUCUUUAGCAAGGAGAUGCAAAUGACAUCCACAAACCUCUUCUGCUGUAUACCUGGAUGAAAGCAAGGCUAGCUGUGUGUCCUAUGGCACCAAGGACUGAAAGAUUGUAAGAAGUAAGAGUAAGUAAAUUUUUAGCUGCUAUAUUCCCUAAUAGCUAGACUUUAAAAGUAUUUUUAACUCUUUUCCUCUAUUCUUGCUAGGUGAACAAGGCUAAAACCUGGGUUUAGUUUUCAUUUUAUAAAUUAUUCUUUAAAAAUAAAUUAUUUCAACUGUCUUGAAGAGUCUGUAAAACAAGGUCUGUGAAGUCACAGAGGGAAAAAGAAUCAGAAAUCAGUAGACAGCAGUUAGACCACGGGUGUUUGUUAUACAUUCGUUCUAGACAUUCAUCAAAAGCUCAGAAAGGGAAAGUCAAGCGUGCCAAAUCAAUAAAGUUUCUAUCGUAUUUCAUCUCUUUGGAUUUGCAGAAUGCUUUGGUAAUUCUGUUUCUCAAGCCUGCACAUCACGAGCAAACAAGUAUGCUUAUGGGUGUCUUAGCCCAGUAGGCUGUUUAUCAGAAAGCUACCAGUCCCCUGUGAGAAGCUGGCUUUCCUCCAAAAUGUAGAAGGUGUUUAAGGGGACAUAUUUCUUUGGUACACCCUAAAGCAAGCUUGUCCAAUGUGCAGCCUGCAGGCCGCAUGUGGCUCAGGACAGCUUUGAAUGUAGCCCAACAUAAAUUCAUAAACUUUCUUAAAACAUUGUGAUUUUUUUGU